rnacentral:lncRNA from 1 species
AAAUGACAUAACCAUGCUUACCCCUGUAUCCCAGCCAUGGCGCUUUAUCAAGCUGGGUGGGGCAGGGAGCCCUGUGCUGCACAGAGAGCUGGCCGCGUUGCCAGCAGCGGACCCUCAGAAGAAAACACACCACAUCGGACUGCUGCUUCUUCCUGGAUGUAUUUGUAUGCACCCAUCUUGGCUCAUGUGACGACUGCCACCAAAGGAAUGGACGGUGCUCGGUUUUUAAUCCUGCUUUUAUUUACCCUACGGGCCCAAGGGAAGAGUCCACACUUCUCAACGAAAGCACUUUCUAAGCAGAUAUUUGAGGAUGGUGUGAAUAAAACUUUCCUGCCUUCA